GACGAACGCUGGCGGCGUGCUUAACACAUGCAAGUCGAGCGGUAAGGCCCUUUCGGGGUACGACGAGCGGCGAACGGGUGAGUAACACGUGGGUGACCUGCCUCAGCUCUGGGAUAAGCCUGGGAACUGGGUCUAAUACCGGAUAUGACUCCAUGACGCAUGUUGGUGGGGUGGAAAGCCUUGUGCGGCUGAGGAUGGGCCCGCGGCCUAUCAGCUUGUUGGUGGGGUGAUGGCCUACCAAGGCGACGACGGGUAGCCGGCCUGAGAGGGCGACCGGCCACACUGGGACUGAGACACGGCCAGACUCCUACGGGAGGCAGCAGUGGGGAA
rnacentral:rRNA from 1 species